rnacentral:tRNA from 1 species
GUCAGGAUGGCCGAGCGGUCUAAGGCGCCAGACUCAAGGUUACACCUUGGCCUGCAAUGCAGGUCGAAUCGAGCAUUCUGGUCCUCAUCUGAGGGCGUGGGUUCGAAUCCCACUUCUGACA